rnacentral:rRNA from 1 species
UACGUAGGUGGCAAGCGUUAUCCGGAAUUAUUGGGCGUAAAGCGCGCGCAGGCGGUCCUUUAAGUCUGAUGUGAAAGCCCACGGCUCAACCGUGGAGGGUCAUUGGAAACUGGGGGACUUGAGUGCAGAAGAGGGGCGUGGAAUUCCGGGUGGAGCGGUGAAAUGCGUAGAGAUCCGGAGGAACACCGACGGCGAAGGCAGCGCCCUGGCCGACGACUGACGCUCAGGCACGAAAGCUGGGGGAGCAAACAGG